UACAGAGGUCCCAAGCGUUGUUCGGAUUCACUGGGCGUAAAGGGCGCGUAGGCGGCGGACCUUGUCGAGUGUGAAAGCCCCGGGCUCAACCUGGGAGGUGCGCUCGAAACGGGUUUGCUGGAGUUCGGGAGAGGAGCGUGGAAUUCCCAGUGUAGAGGUGAAAUUCGUAGAUAUUGGGAAGAACACCGGUGGCGAAGGCGGCGCUCUGGACCGAGACUGACGCUGAGGCGCGAAAGCGUGGGGAGCAAACAGG
rnacentral:rRNA from 1 species